rnacentral:rRNA from 1 species
GAUGAACGCUGGCGGCGUGCCUAAUACAUGCAAGUCGAGCGAACGGACGAGAAGCUUGCUUCUCUGAUGUUAGCGGCGGACGGGUGAGUAACACGUGGAUAACCUACCUAUAAGACUGGGAUAACUUCGGGAAACCGGAGCUAAUACCGGAUAAUAUUUUGAACCGCAUGGUUCAAAAGUGAAAGACGGUCUUGCUGUCACUUAUAGAUGGAUCCGCGCUGCAUUAGCUAGUUGGUAAGGUAACGGCUUACCAAGGCAACGAUGCAUAGCCGACCUGAGAGGGUGAUCGGCCACACUGGAACUGAGACACGGUCCAGACUCCUACGGGAGGCAGCAGUAGGGAAUCUUCCGCAAUGGGCGAAAGCCUGACGGAGCAACGCCGCGUGAGUGAUGAAGGUCUUCGGAUCGUAAAGCUCUGUUAUUAGGGAAGAACAUAUGUGUAAGUAACUGUGCACAUCUUGACGGUAACUAAUCAGAAAGCCACGGCUAACUACGUG